rnacentral:rRNA from 1 species
GAUGAACGCUGGCGGCGUGCCUAAUACAUGCAAGUCGAGCGAACAGACGAGGAGCUUGCUCCUCUGACGUUAGCGGCGGACGGGUGAGUAACACGUGGAUAACCUACCUAUAAGACUGGGAUAACUUCGGGAAACCGGAGCUAAUACCGGAUAAUAUAUUGAACCGCAUGGUUCAAUAGUGAAAGACGGUUUUGCUGUCACUUAUAGAUGGAUCCGCGCCGCAUUAGCUAGUUGGUAAGGUAACGGCUUACCAAGGCAACGAUGCGUAGCCGACCUGAGAGGGAGAUCGGCACACUGGAACUGAGACACGGUCCAGACUCCUACGGGAGGCAGCAGUAGGGAAUCUUCCGCAAUGGGCGAAAGCCUGACGGAGCAACGCCGCGUGAGUGAUGAAGGUCUUCGGAUCGUAAAACUCUGUUAUUAGGGAAGAACAAAUGUGUAAGUAACUAUGCACGUCUUGACGGUACCUAAUCAGAAAGCCACGGCUAACUACGUG